rnacentral:rRNA from 1 species
AACACAGGGAUUGCCUCAGUAACGGCGAGUGAAGCGGCAAAAGCUCAAAUUUGAAAUCCCCCGGGAAUUGUAAUUUGAAGGUGGCCUCAGUUAGUCCAAACAUUCUUAAGUCCAUUGGAAAAUGGCGCCAUGGAGGGUGAUAGCCCCGUAAAGAUGUCGUUUGUUCUAUUUUCUCUGGCCACCAAAGAGUCGAGUUGUUUGGGAAUGCAGCUCUAAGUGGGUGGUAAAUUCCAUCUAAAGCUAAAUAUUGGCGAGAGACCGAUAGCGAACAAGUACAGUGAUGGAAAGAUGAAAAGCACUUUGAAAAGAGAGUGAAAAAGUACGUGAAAUUGUUGAAAGGGAAGGGCUUGCAAGCAGACACAACCUCGUGUUGGGCCAGCAUCGGGGCGAGAGGAAGUAAAAACGAUUUGGAAAUGUAACUUUCGAGUAUUAUAGACCUUAUCCCUCCCUUCCAUCUCAUCCCGAGGCCUGCGGUUAUCCUAGGAUGAUGG